rnacentral:tRNA from 1 species
GAAGGUAUAGUUCAGUGGUAGAGUGUGUGCUUAGCAUGCAUAAGGUCCUGGGUUCAAUCCCCAGUACCUCCA